CAGUCGCCGCGGUAAUACGUAGGGUGCGAGCGUUAAUCGGAAUUACUGGGCGUAAAGCGUGCGCAGGCGGUUGUGUAAGACAGGUGUGAAAUCCCCGGGCUUAACCUGGGAACUGCGCUUGUGACUGCACAGCUAGAGUAUGGCAGAGGGGGGUGGAAUUCCACGUGUAGCAGUGAAAUGCGUAGAGAUGUGGAGGAACACCGAUGGCGAAGGCAGCCCCCUGGGCCAAUACUGACGCUCGUGCACGAAAGCGUGGGGAGCAAACAGGAUUAGAUACCCGCGUAGUCCCUGUCUCUUAUAC
rnacentral:rRNA from 1 species